AGAGCUCUGUCCCUAGUGAUCCUUUUCCAAGGUCCACGAAUGUAUCAACUCAAUAAGACAAGCCAUCUCAGAAAUCUAUAAUGCUCAAUCCAAUGUUUUUCCCAUUAAAUAUCAAAUAAAAUUAUGCUGAAGAUACCAUCAUACUAACUUUUUCAUCUGCGAAUAUGGAUUGUUCUUGUUAUUAAGAACAUUUACAUUUCUUUUUUCCACUUGACCUACCCAUCAUAAUUAGUUUUAUGAUUUUAUCAGAAAUGCAAGCUAUAUUAUCUGACUAAAUGUGUAGAUGCAUACCUAAAUAUUAAUUGAGCAUAUGAAGCCAGCAUUUGCAACUAUGAAGUGAAUCUGGUUAGUUGAUUUAUGUGCAAGUAGAAGCACCAGCCAUGUGGCUUCCACCUGGCUUGUCCCAUGCAUGAUAAGUGAGAUCCACAAAAUAAGACUAAUCAUGAAUCUUUUUUUUGCGGGAGCUAAUCAUGAAUCUUAUGGUAGGUGUAAUGCAACCGAUAACCUACCAGUUUUAUGGUAGGUCUAACAUCAUUGUUGCUAUCAUUACCACAAAAAAGUAACAUGUAACACAAACCUAAUUAACAGAACCUAACGAAUACAUGAUGGAUUGAAAUCAUACACACAUUUCCUUUUGUCAUGCCAAUAUUCAUCACAAAGCCCCAAGAGAAUAUUAUCAAUAUCGCAAAAUCUGAGAUGGAUCAAAACUUUGGUCUUUGUUUCUAUAAUUUCUAUACAUUUGAACUGUAUACUAUACACAUGGGAAUGUAUACUAUACACAUGGGAAAACUGUAUCAAGAUCGGCUCAUCCUCAAAAAGGCGGAUGCCAAUCGCAGGGAGUAGAGUGAUGUGGAGUAUUUAUGAGCUAAGAAUGUUUAAUAGAGAAACUCUGUUCUGGACUAAUUUCCUGAACAGAAUUCCUGCUCCAUCCUGAAGAUCUCCGAUGCUGCACUCUAACUCCUGCAAUUGUCCCUCCUCGCAAACAACGGCCUUCUUCUUGUAAAAUGCCUUGCAGACAAGAGACUGCUUUGGCAUUUCAAUUUUCUUCGACAAGAGAUGGAGUGUGGACUCCAGCAGAGAGAUGCAGAUCUCUCUUGCGUUGGUCAAUAGCAUGGCCAGCUUGUCCGAUGCAGCCUUCUUGGCAGUCUUCUUGAAGUGUUUCCUGGCCUUCUUCAUCAAGCGAGUAAAAGACUGGAUCUUGGCUUGAGCAGCCGCAUCAUCUCCUUUUCUUAGAGCCAGUUGCAGCUCUUGGAUGAUGACCACCAUCUCGGUGAAGGUCUCUUGCAUGGUGCUGCAGAGAUCUAAGAGCUCAACGGAGCAUCCCAUCUCUCCAUCCACCAUGUUCCUCUGCUGGGAGGAGCAAACUUGGUGGCUUGAUAGACAAAUAAUCUCUUCAAGACCAUCAUAGAUGUUUGCAAGACUCCUGAGACCAUCGCACAUCGUGCUGAUGGAACUGGAGGAAGAGAUGCUUGCUUCUAGGCUCUGGAGUUCUUGCUCAACUUGGGUCUCACUGAUGUGAGGCCUAGAAGGCAAACUUGUCGAUCUUUGGUGGAAAGCCAUAUCUGAGCUUGAAGCUUUUCUCUGUAUUGUGGUUGAAGAGAGGAGGAGCAGAAAAGAACACUUCUGGUUUGAUGUGUCUACUGCUCUUCUCAGGCCUAUUUAUACAUAAAUGUACAAGCAGUAGCAUAUGAUUGGUAGACAUGAAGAAUCACACCAUUACAUCUCCCAGAUGCUGCCUGCUAUGCCUUGAGAUCUGUGAGGAGCAUAGAGAUCGCAACACUAAAGUCGUCUCAUGUUUAGUACAUUGUUUUAUGCUACUGUCCACACAAUUGGCAGCAAGAACCAGCACCGCAGUUUAGUCUGAUGGUGGAUCUUUCUUGCAUGCUCAGGCCAUUAUUUUAUGGGUUGCUAACCUAGCAUUUAGCUGUGACAUACCUUGGUGGGCACAUUUGCAAAUCACAGGUCAAAGCCUCGAGGUCGGAGGUGGCAUGUUUAGGCCAUGGGAGCAAGAUCCACUGCACGAGAUCCAUGUUAGGGGUUCAACAUAUUAUCAUCAGGCUGUCAUGUCUGAAUUAUUAGCAGCAAACUCAUCUGCACAAGCGUGUAGUUUGGUUUCAGAUGAAGAUCAUGAGAUCGAUGAUUAUAGUGAAACGAUGAGAGAUAAGGAGCUGGUUGCUGAUUGCUGAUGAAAGGAACAGCUGGCUUAGCUUUGGAGGUUUAUCUGGUGGCACCUGCUUGAUAUGCAAAUUUUAGUUGCUUCUGCAACUGAUAUUCUAUUAAUUAUAGGGAGCGAUACUCCAGUAUAUUAUUACAAGGAGCAUGUGUUUGAGGCACAUUUCAUGUGAAUUCCAUAACAACCUCAUAGUUCUGAAAAAAGAAGAAGCAUAACAACCUCAUGCCUUCGGGUUAGCGGGCUAGCGUGUCUGAACUAUGUAUGUAAACCAACGAACUGAACAUCAUCAGAGUUGAGUAAUUUUUCCAUUUUAUACAUAGAUCCUGCAAACGCCGGAUGCCAACCACAGGGUAUUGGAUCUGAGUAUGUACCUUUAUCUAUAAGCUAUGAGUAUUCAGCAGAAAAACUCUGUUCUGGAUCAAUUUCUUGAACAGAACGUCAACUCCGCUCCCCGGAUUAACAAUGUCCGACUCAAGUGCCCGCAAUUGCUACUCUUCAGCUAUGGAAUGCGUUGAGAAAAACGAACACCCGCCAAUCUUUCGGACGACAAGUUGCUUUGACAAGAGCCACUGUGUAGAAUUGAAGCAACAAGACUGUAAUUUUCUUCGCUGUUGCAAGUAGCCUGAUCACCCUUCGGUCCUCAGUAACAGGUGUAACCGUCUUCCCGAUCUACCUGAACUGUUUUUGUGCUUUCUUUACUAAUUGGGUGUACCGUGUAUGACUGAAUAUUGACCUCAAAGCUUCAGUGUCUCCUCUUUUCAGAACCAAGCGCAGUUCUUGGACGGUGUCUACCCCAGUACGCACAUUUUGCUACCCUCAUAUAUAGUGCAGAAGUAGAAGCACUUACACACCUUGCUACCUACAGACAACUGGAAUCCUGUUAGUCUAUGUCCUGAGAGUUUGUCACCCAUCUUCAAGGCAAGUUUAUGCUGCUCUGCUGUUAUCUUAUCGUUUCAUACAUCUAUGAAUGGGUAUAUGGGCCUGUCGAACGCGUCUUGAUCAUUGGAGACAAACUCACACACAAGGAACAAUUUUCGUGUUGGAUCCAGAUAGCUUGAUCAUGCAUGCGUGUGCAUCAGCGUUACAUGAUGACUGUCCUCUCCUUGCUUUGCCGCUGGCAUAUGCUACAGCGUGUUUCAUUGUUAGUGGCAAACCCAUCUGCACCCCCAGGGUGGUUGGUGGUGUAAGGAGUCAUUGACUUCAUCAGCAUGUUGUUCCAGGCUGUGCUAUCUGGUUCUGCUAACAUCCUUUGUGGCGCUCCUAUACAAUGUAAGAAGGGGUAAGAAAGAGAUCAAAAUAUAUUACCGAAGUGUAUCUACCAUGCUUUGAUGAUGCAAAAUAUUUCCCUUUUACAAGAGAUAUUUUUGGUGUUAACAUUAAGACAUGCCAUCUCAGAAAUCUAUAAUGCUCAAUCCAGUAUUUAUCUCCUAGUAUUAAAUACAAAAUAAAAUUAUGUUGAAGAUACCAUCAUACUCAUUUUUUUCAUUUGCGAAUAUGGAUUAUUGUUUGUUACUAAGAACAUUUAGAUUUGAUUUUUCCACUUGAUCUACCCAUCAUCAAUAGUUUUAUGAUUUUAUCAGAAAUGCAAGCUUUAUCAUCUGAAUAAAUGUGUAGAUAUAUACCUAAAUAUUAAUUGAGCAUAUGAAGCCAGCAUUUGCAACUAUGAAGUGAAUCUGGCUAGUUGAUUUAUGUGCAAGUACAACCAUCAACCAUGUGGCUUCCACCUGGCGUGUCCCAUGCAUGAUAAGUGAGAUCCACAAAAUAAGGCUAAUCAUGAAUCUUAUGGUAGGUCUAAUGCAACCAAUAACCUACUAGUUUUAUGGUAGGUCUAAUAUCAUUGUUGUUAUCAUUUACCACAAAAUUGUAACUUGUAACCAAAACCCAAUUAACAGAACCUAACAGAUACAUGAUGGAUUAACAUCAUACACAUUGCUACUCCCUCCGUUCCAAAAUAGAUGACUCAAUUUUGUACUAACUUUAGGGAGUAUUUGUCAUGCAUAUAUUCAUCACAAAGCCCCAAGAGAUUAUUAUCAGUAUCGCAAAAUCUGAUAUGGAUCAAAACUUUAGUCUUUGUUUCUAUAAUUUCUGUAUGUAUACUAUACACAUGGGAAAACUGUAUCAAGAUCGGCUCAUCCUCAAAAAGGCGGAUGCCAAUCGCCGGGAGUAGAGUGAUGUGGAGUAUUUAUGAGCUAAGCAUGUUUAAAAGAGAAACUCUGUUCUGGACUAAUUUCCAGAACAGAAUUCCUGCUCCAUUCUAAAGAUCUCCAAUGCUGCACUCUAACUCCUUCAAUUGCUCCUCGCAAACAACGGCCUUCUUCUUGUAAAAUGCCUUGCAGACAAGAGACUGCUUCGGCAUUUCAAUUUGCUUCGACAAGAGAUGGAGUGUGGACUCCAGCAGAGAGAUGCAGAUCUCUCUUGCGUUGGUCAAUAGCAUGACCAUCUUGUUGGAUGCAGCCUUCUUGGCAGUCUUCUUGAAAUGUUUCCUGGCCUUCUUCGCCAAGCGAGCAAAAGACUGGAUCUUGGCUUGAGCAGCUGCAUCAUCUCCUUUUCUUAGAGCCACUUGCAGCUCUUGGAUGAUGACCACCAUCUCGGCGAAGAUCUCUUGCAUGGCGCUGCAGAGAUCUAGUAGCUCGAGAGAAACUUCCAUUUCUCCAUCCAACAUGUUCCUCUGCUGGGAGGAGAAAACUUGGUGGCUUGGUAGGCAAAUAAUCUCUUCAAGACCAUCGUAGAUGUUUGCAAGACUCCUGAGACCAUCGCACAUCGUGCUGAUGGAAUUGGAGGAAGAGAUGCUUGCUUCUAGGCCGUGGAGCUCUUGCUCGACUUGGGUCUCACUGACGUGAGGCCUAGAAGGCAAACUUAUCGAUCUUUCGUGGAAAGACAUAUCUGAGCUUGAAGCUUUUCUCUAUAUAUAUUGUGGUUGAUGAAGAGUUGAAGAAAAGAACACUUCUUGGUUUGAUGUCUCUACUGCUCUGCUGAGGCCUAUUUAUACAGAAAUGAACAAGCAGCAGCAUUUGAUUGGUAGACAUGAAGAAUCAUGCAAUUACAUCUCCGAGAUGCUGUCUGCUAUGCCUUGAGAUUUUUUAAGCACAAGCAUAGAGAUUGGAACCCUAAAGUCGUCUCAUGUUUAGUACAUUGAUUUAUGUGUCCACUGUCCCUAAGAUAGGCCAUCACAUUAUUAUGUUCCAGCAAUUGGCAACAAGAACCAGCAGUCCAGUUUAGUCUGAUGGUGGAUCUUGGCAUAAUUGCUUACCAAAGCCAUUAUUUAAUGGAUUGCUAACCUAGCAUUUUUUGCUGCGGAGUGCCUGUAUUUAAUCAGGUGUUUGCUUUGGUGGGCACCCUUGCGAAUAACAAGUUAAAGCUUCGAUGAUCGGAGCUGGCAUGUUUAGGCCAUGGAAACAAGAUCCAUGUUAGUGGUUCAGCGUGUUACCCACAAUUUCAUAUCUGGCAAGAAACGAGUUUUUGUUGUGUGCUUGUGUGCCGUGUCCACCCUAUUUUUUCUGAUGUUUUCGUACAACCUUAUUUUUGGUGAAGUUUGGAAUAAACAUAUAAAGCAUUGGUUGUUCUUUGUGUUCUAGGAAUUAAUAUACGGAAAAGAACAAAGAAUUUGCACACUGGCAAGUUUGGAUUAGGUCUUGCUCAGAUUAUUGUUAAUUCUGUAGAGUAAAUGUUUUUUGUUAUUAUUUUGCCUUACAUGCUUAGAUGAUAUAGAUGUCGACAAUGUUAAAAUUUGAGCACAAAUUUGGACUUUGUUGUAUGAAACCAGAAAUAUAAUUAAUUGUAGUGCCAGACUGCACAACCAUGUGGUGGUGGCACUGGAGAAUCUGAAUAAUAAAACUGAUUGAUUCUGCAAACUAAUACAAGUAGGGACCGUGUGACUUUGAUCUGGCUUGUUUCAUGCAUAAGGGACAAGAUCCACUAACCAAGGUUAUCAAAAUUAAGUAUACUGGGAUCACAAGCACAUCUUCAAGUAUGAAAUGGUCAAAUGGAUCAAAACUUUUGUUUCUCUUGCUAUAGUAUCAUGUGCAUUUCUAUUGUAUAGUGUAUAUAUACAUAGGGGAAAAUUGUAUGAAGAUCAGCUAUUCCUUAAAAGGCGGAUGCCAAUCGAAGGGUGUCAAGAGUGUCCUGGAAGUAUCUAUGAGCUAAGGAUGUUGAGUAGAGAAACUCUGCUCUGGACAAAUUUCCUGAACAGAUGUCCUGCUCCGCUCUCAAGAUCUCCGAUACUGCACUCUAACCCCAACAAUUGCUCCUCCUUGCAAACAACUGACUUCUUUUUGUGAAAUGCCUUGGAAACAAGAGACUGUUUAGGCAUUUUAAUUUGCUUCGACAAGAGAUGGAGUGUGGACUCCAGCAGAGAGACAGAGAUCUCUCUGGCCUUGGCCAAGAGCAUGACCGUCCCGCAAUCUGCCGAAAUCUACUUCGUGGUCUUCUUGAAAUGAUUCUUGGCCUUCUUCGCCAAGUGGGUGUAAGAUUGGAUACUGGCUUGAGCAGCCGCAUCAUCCCCUUUCCUUAGAGACAGUUGCAGCUCUUGGAUGAUGGCCUUCAUCUCGGCGAAGAUCUCUUGCAUGGUGCCACAUAGAUCUAGCAGCUCGAGAGAACCGUCCAUUUCUUCAUCCAACACCGUCCUCUGCUGGUAGGCACAGACUUGGCUGCUUGGAAGGCAGAUGAUCUCUUCGACGCCAUUAUAGAUGUCUCCAAGCCUCCUCAGACCCUCGCACAUCAUGCCGAUGGUCGUGGAGGAACAGAUGCUUGCCUCUAGGCUCAACAUCUGUUCUUCAAUCUCGGUCUCGGUGGGGUGAGGCCUAGAAGGCAAACUUAUCGAUAUUAGGUGGAAAGCCAUGUCUGAUCUUGAAGCUUUUCUCUAUUUUGUGGUCGAGGAGAGGAGCAGAAAAGAAGAGCUUAUAGCUUGAUGUUUCUACCAUUCUGCUGACGCCUAUUUAUACAGAAGGUAUGUUUACAGCUGUAUUGUAGCAUCUGAGUGGUAGAUCUCCCAGAUGCUGUCUGCUGUGCCUUGAGAUCUGCCAGAAGCAUAGAGAUCAAAACACUAAAGUCGUCUCAUGUCUGCUACAUUUUUUUAUUGUGUCUGGUGUCCUCGAGAAGAACCAUCACAUUGUCAUGUUCCACUUAUUGGCAGCAAUGACAAAUUAAGAGGGGCAUAGUUUGGUGGUGGAUCUUGACAUAAUUGCACGCUGAAGCUAUUAUCUAGUGGAAUGCUGCUGGCUACUGGCAUGUUCUUCAUUUAAUCGGCUAUUUUUUCUUUUGAUGGAUACUCGUGAUAACACGGCCGGUGCCUCAUAAUUUGGAGCUGGCAUUUUCAUGUAUCGGAAAACAAGAUCCAAUGCGCCUUUUAUUUUGUUCAACAUUGUGUCCCCAUCUUUUCAGUUAUAUCGUAUCAAAUAAUGACAUAAACGAGGUUUUGAAUUGUGCCCCUGCUCACAAAUCUCUUUUCAAUGUUUUUCAUGCGAUGCUAGGUUAGACUAAUUGAUUCUCAAACAUCAUUGUGGGUGAAGUUUGCCAUCCUAAUAGAUUGUUUUCCUUUUUCAGGUUAUUUCUGUUGCUAGCCAAAUUGUUCAGUUCUACGAUUGAGAGGUUGAAGCUUUCUGCCAGUAUACCAUGUCUCGUAAUAAUUUGUAAUGUUGGCACAAACAUAGUUACAUAAUAACUUGUUGAGCUCUGUAAUCGUUUUCUUUCCUGCCCGUUUGGGUGUGUGUACUGUGUCUCUUCUACCUUCUCAAUGGAAUGAAACACCAGGCUUUUGCGUUUUCUGAACCAAAAAAAAUGGUAGAAUAUGUUCCAUAUUUUGAAGUUAGUGUUUUACACAAUCGGGUCAUUAGUACUCCCUCCGUUCCGAUUUACUCGUCGUGGUUUUAGUUCAAAUUUGAACUAAAACCACGAUGAGUAAAUCUGAACGGAGGGAGUAUGAUGCAGUACAAUCUAGAACACACUUUAAAAUUCUUCACCAUGUAAAGAAAUGGAGUAAUCUCCAAUGGGUUAGCUUGGGAGGCCAAAUUUCUACAAUAUUACAUUGUUUUACAGUCUGUUUAAAGGAUGGUCAUUCCUUUCUUCUCUUCUCUUCUGUUUAAAGGAUGGUCAUAAGCACCUGAAAGAGGAUCAAUCGCCCCAACCCCCCGACACCCCGAGCCGCUCCCGCGAGCGUCCUCGGGGGAAACCCUAGCGCGCCGCCCCUCGUCCUCCCUCAUCGACCUCUCCCCCUGCCGCCACCGCACAGCGCCGCCGGGCAAAGUCCGGCCGGCAUUGGUGGCGGCGGGGAUCUUGCCCCUCUCCUCGCGGUUGGCAUCCGGCGCAAGACGGUGCUGGGCUGUGCGGGGCCCGGCGGCGCGGCGGCAGGCGUGCUGGGUGGCGGUGGUGCAGCGGCGGCUUGGGGCCCCUUCGACGCGCGGCGGUUGCGGAUUCUCUAGCGGUGACGCGCGCGCCGGCCCUGUCCAGAUCUGACAGAUUUGGCUCCGGUGGCCUGAUGCGCGGCGGGGGCAGCGUGCUGCUUGGGUCACGGGCGUCUUGCUCUGCCAUGGCCGCGUCUCGCGGAGCUGGAGGCGUGGCGGCGGAAAUGGUUGGUGCGUGUCCAGGCGGGCGGGUGGCCGCAGGCUCGCAUGCUCGACCCUGUGAUGGCGCGGGCCAUGGACGGCUUGGGCCACGUGCGGCCCCCCUGCAGUGGUAGGUGGUGGCGGUGGCACGGUGGUGGUGGUGGUUCGCGCUGGUGGUGGCGCUGGCGGCGGUGUGGGCUUCGUCCGGCGGCCGUUGGCGGCGAGGGUGGUGGCGCUGGCUCGGGGCUGCCCCUCAGGGUCCCGGCAUGGAUGUGGGCUGCCACGGCGUGGUGGUGGCCCAUCGUGGGUGGUCUGGGUUGUUUCACGGCAGCGGCUGGACUUCUUCGGCGUCUGCCUGUCGGUGAGCACCCUUGACGACCUUUGAUUCAUCUCCCCGUCGUUCGGGCGCUACCUUUAUCGGAGGGUUGGCCCUCUCCUAGUGGCGGCCCAUCGCUCGUCUCGUGCCCGGCAGCAGGACCGAGCUCGUCUCGCGCCCGGCAGCAGGACCGAGCUCAUCUCGCGCCCGGCAGCAGGAUCUGACUCGUCUCACGCUCGGCAGCAGGACCGAGAUCGUCUCGUGCCCGGCGGCAGGACAAGUCGAUGGUGGCCAGUUUUGGCCGACCUAUUGGGUCUUGUCACUGGGACAGCCCAGGGGUGCGAAAGGCGGUUCGUUUCCACUCGUCUCUUUGGUUGGGGUAGCGGCGGGUGGCGGGUGAGGUGGCAUUAAGGUCCUGGAUGCCGAGGCGGCGGCCCUGGUGGUGGUGUUGCGGUGAUCUUGGGCAAAGCCCGUGGCUUGGUGCUGCCUGGUGGCCAUGGCCGUGUGGGCGGCGUGGUAGCCAGGGUGUGAUGUUCGGUGGCGGUGAAUAUUGACCGCGGUGAAAACCUGUUCUAUCUUUGGACGGACCGGCGGCGGCGAAACUCGUUCCCUUCUUGAAGGCGUCGUCGCGGCUCUCACUGUCCGUCAUGUUGCUCCAGGGGAAACUCUGAUCUUUGGGUCAGGCGGUGGCGGUGCUUCGGUGUCGUAACCUUCCUGUAGGCACCGCCUUGGAGCCCACGGUUCGUCGUAUGUAGCUUUCUCUCUUUGCGAUGGCGUGUUCACGGUUGAGGCCCCCGGUUGCUCAUGUAGUGCUAGGGGUGGUGUUGCUGCGCUCAGGGCCUAUGUAUCAUGUCUUGGGUGUGUGCGUGUUCUGGUGGCGUGCGUUGCACCGGGUUGUUGAUGAUCUUUGCUUUAUAUAUAAAGCGGGCCGAAAGCCUUUUUGGGUAAAGGAUGGUCAUUACUCGGCUGAAAUGGCGGCAGUUAGAAGAUUGGAGUAUUUGUUACAUUAUGUGUCUGGCGAAUACUCCCAGCAAGAAAUUAGGGCAUUUGCAAUUGCAUAUUAACUGCAGUCUAGGGGUGCGCGAGAAAGUGAAUUAGUGAUGUAUAUGUAGCAUAUAUACUGACAGAAUGUAAAAUGAAACCAAAUAAAUGGAAGAUCUCAUAGUAGCGAAAUCAACAUGUUUCUUAGACAAAAAAAUCAUGCUAUUUCGUAAGUGGAAUCGUACUUUUGUUGCACUACAAGCACCCAGGAUUGUUUUUAGUCAUAAAGAGUGGGUGUGUAGUGUUGGGAGGCGAUGCCGGACCAAUCCCAACACGGAAGUAUCAAAACAACUUAUAUAAACUAAAAUCUCAAAUAUCCUUCACGUGCGCGCAUGGGGUGUGGCGGAGUAUUCUGAAAGGAGACAGAACUCAGAUUCGUACCUGGUCUCGUUCAUGGGUGGCCGACAGUCAAGUAGUCAUGCCAGUGCCAAUCUCCCUACUGAAGUUGGCAAGUUGCCGAGCUCAUGAACAGUGACUGAAACAUGGAGCGAUUCGCCAAACUUUUGCAGCAGAGGAUGUUCCAGUGGUCCUUAUCAUGCCGAUAUGUGAGCAGGGUGAAGAUUCGGUCCGGGGAACUACUUGGCACACAGAACUUGAGCGCAUAAUGUAUCCUGCACCUUGAUGAUUUGCCAGCCUUGUGACAUGAAGUUUCACCCUGUGACUGGAAGCGAAUCAGGAUGGGACCAAGUAUUGACAAGGUACAGCAGACACAAAAAUGAAGGGUUCAAGCAAAGUUGAUCCAGGAAUAGCAGUACGCUCUUUUAGGGAUUACCACAAAGCAAUAGCUAGGAGAAUCUCGGUGAGGUAGUACAUGGGUUUUGAAGGGAUUUUGUUUAUGAAUAAGUGAGCACAACUGCCCGCUAUGGCUGACCGUAUGCAUGUUUCAAAAACAACUGUUAUCAACAUCCAGUCUAGUACCUUCAGCAAAAGGAAAGUAUAGUGAUUAACAGUCGCUGAUAAGCUAUACAGGAAGAUCUUCCUAUUCGGUGUUCGUGGAAAGGAAUCAAUUGCCAUCAUUUGAAACCAAUCUCCUCAUAAAAAGAGGGUAAUGUUUCCACGUUGAAAGCAAUUCGACCAAGGCGUAACUAACAGUAACACGUGUAAAAAGCACACAUGACAAGCUCUAAAUCAUGCAUACAAAAAAAAUCCAAGUGAAUCUAGAUGCAUAUUUUUCUUUAACAAACGGAACAAUGAAUGAUGUCUAAGUUUCUUCCAUGUUAGGCAUCUCCAGCCGCGCCCCCAACAGGCCCUCCCCAGGCGAUUUUGCCGCGCCGGCAACAAAAAAAGGCCCCAGUCGCGCCCCCAGAAGACCGUUUUUCGCCGGCUCGGGCCAAAACUGGUGCCGGCGGACCCAGGCCGAAGCCGGCGCCCUGGGGGGCGCUUGGGGAGCCGGCGCAAGGGAAAAAGGCGCGUGGGCCCGCCCUGGAAGCGACCCGAGGGUCUUUUCCCGCCGUUUCUUGACACUUUUCCCUCGUAUCUCUCCCGCUCGCUCGCCUUCCUCCCGCCAUUCUAUCCCUUUCUCCCGCUCGCUCUCGCCUUCCUCCCGCCAAACCCCCUCCCGCUCGCCGCGAAGAAGCACGCCAUGCCGCCGAAGAAGUACGCCAUGCCGCGCGCGACGGCAACCGCGAGUGGCGUCGUGGCCCAGCCGAAGCCGAGGAAGCCGAGGGCGCCGCCAUCGAAGCCACUAGGCCUGUCGAACGCCGAGUGGAGGGUGGAAGUUCAGCGGCACGAAGCGGUCACCACUGACAGGCGGAACAGGGCCAUAGCCAAGAAGGCCCGCGACACCGCGGCACGCACGGCGGCGUCUUCCUCAUCGGUCGAACAGGCGGGGAUGAACCCACCCGUCGUCAGCCACGCCCAGUACGCGCCCUGGGGACAGCAAGGCGCCGGAUCUCCAUGGGGUUCAUCGUCGCCCGGCUGCUACGCCGACGGCGACGCGCACAGCGGGUUCAACCCAAACGUGACCUUCCCUCAUGGUCACCCCGCUACGCGCACGCCCUCGCCCGCCUUCGUCGGCGUGCAGUACCCUUCAUACAACUACUCGCCGCCCGCCUCCUACGCGUCCACACCGACGCCCCAUCUCUACCGCGGACCGCUACCCUUCUCGCACCUCGGCGGCACCGAUGACACGGGAGCCGACAUGGAUGACAUCAUCGCGACAGGAUCAAUCACGGCCGCCGAGUCUCUCAGGUUCGCCACCCAGGACGAGGUGGUUGACCUCAACGGCGACAUGGAGGCCGAGCUCGGCUACGUCUACGGCGACGACGCGCAGGAACCCGAGGAGGAGGAGGACGAGGAGGAGGAGGAGGAGGAACCGGCGCCUGUUCCGACGAAGGGGCGCUAGAAGAAGAAGAAGCGGGAGGCUAGGUCAGGCGAACCGCGCAUCAAGUGGACGUCCAAGGAGGAGGAAUGCCUCGCCGAAGCAUGGAAAGUCGUCUGCCUCGAUCCGACCACCGGCGCGAACCAGAGCUUGGACACAUACUGGGACCACAUCAAGGCCGAGUUCGACGAGCGGAAGCUCGUCGACCCCUACUUCAAAGGCGUGUACAUGCAGCGCGGCUCCAAGGCGAUGGCGAACCAUUGGGGGCGUAUCCAGUUGGCGUGCAACAAAUGGCAUGGAAUCGUCGAGGAGGUCGUGGCUCGCCCGGAGAGCGGCGCCAGCAUUGAGGAUCAGGUACGCAUGCCGUUCGCCCGAUAUCUUCGCCCCCUACGCCUGCCAACUGUUUGUCUCUCCGCGCAGCUGCUGCGUAUGUUCGCCAUGUAUCGGGGCGACAACCAAGACGCCGACUUCAAGCACCUCCACGUCUACAAGCGCAUUGACAAGUGCGAGAAGUGGGCGGAAGUCCGGCGUGCCCUCGACAAGGCCAAGGAGACAUACAAGCCAGACGCGACGACUCCGGGCGCGUCAGAGGGACGGCCGGACGGCCACAAGUUGGCAAAGAAGGAGAAAAGUGCCGACGCGGCAACCGCGCGAGUGCAGGAGUCCAUUGAGCAUUGCCUCGCCGACGCCCAGGCCCGGGCCGUCCUACGCGAAGAGAAGACCGAGGCGCGGUGGUUGUCGCUUAUGAAGAACAACGCCAUCAAGCUCGACCUGCUCCGGACGAACGUCGCCGCGAAGAAGAGGAACACCGACAUGGCUUUUCUGAUGAGCGGGGCGGACAUGCUCCAGAGCAACGACGAGAAGCUCAAGGCGUGGUACCUGGUGCAGCGCGGCCUCAUCCUGAACGAGCUGCCGACGGCAACGCCGACGACGCCGAUGACGCCCACGACCACACGGACGCCAAGCCCGGACGGCGCCUCUACAUCGCCGCCCAGUAGUGCCGAAGCCGCGCCGACGCAGCCCUGCGACGAAGCAGGUCCGACACCGACGAGCCCGCGCACGCCGACUCCGCCAACGCCUGGAGCCGACCAAGCCGAAUGAUUCGUUGCGCACGGCGCCCCUCUGUUUUCUGUAACGCCAGACUACGUCCGAUCGCCGGAUUUGCGGCGUCUUUUGAGAGCGGGAACGACCAAGUUUGAAUUUCCCGCGUCCUGGGGCCGGCGCGUGGGGGCGUGACUGGGAGCUAGGUCACCCCAGGGGCCGAACUAGCGCCGGCACCAGGUACCCUGGGGGGCGAUGUAGAGGCCCCGCGCCUAAAUAUUUGGUGUAUUUGCAAGCACCACCAACAACUAUAAGGGCUCUAUUUAGGCGCCCUGGGGGCCGAACGGCUGAAGAUGCCCUUAUAGUUGUUGAUGGUGCUUGCAAAUACACCAAAUAUUUCAGGUAAGUGCCACCUAUGCAACGACUUUAACCUUUUGAAUUAAAUAUGCCAUUAAAUUUGAAAAAGGUAACAGUAUGUAGUACACAUGAUAGCAACAUAUAAGAUAUGAAAAGAAAGUGUGCUGGUUUCUUAUUGUUCCUUGCACACAAUAACCAGAGACAAAUAUGCUAUUCUUCAAACCAACUCAACAAAAACCAGAAAGCGCAAAGGCAUAGUCAAGAGCUCACUGAUCAAACUAUCUAAUUUAAAAAUUAUUCAAUAAAGCCGAUGUGCUUUUAACUGCAUAUAAAACUCUAAAUUAAAUGACAGAAAUAGCACUAGAAACUACUGUAUAGUUAUUUUAACAAAAGAAAAUAGAUAGCUAAAUCUCUCCCUAAUAAUAAAGCAUGGAUUGGGUCUCCGGGUUCACCGUCACAAUACGCUUUCUUCUCAUGUCAUAAUACGCUUUUACAAUUUGUAUGGAAAAAAUUGUAAUAUACACGAGGUGGUACUAAUGAAAUCAAGUCGUGUGCGUCGAACGAUCGCACCGGCUCCCUUCCCUGCUGGGCUUGCCUGGACCCGUUUUUCUACUUGCAACGAAUCAGCGGCUGGACUAUCAAAAAAUAAAACUAUCAGAGACUCAAAUUCGAAAACGAUUGGUUUUUCCUUCAUACUACGGUGUUUUGACUGUGACCCAGUCGAGCUCCACAUCCCUCGCCGCUUCCUCAACUUAUCUCAACUGCCAGCGCGCCGGAGGAUGAGCAGAAGACGGAGUCGUUGCGGGCCGGCGAGCAGGUACUUAUCUCAACUUCCAGCGCGCCGCCACCACCUGCCGCUCCGCUGCGUGCCGCCACCACCGCCUCGCGCGCCGCCCUGGUCGCCGCCGCCGGCCUUGCAUCGCCUCAACGCCCGACCCCCGAGUCUCGCAGGCCCGCCACACACCUACUCUCUUCCAACAAUUCCGUGCAUCCCGGCUCGAUUACUUCAGGGAGGAGGAGGAUGACGACGAGGCAGAGCUGCUAGACACGGUCACACGGCCGCCUGUCCCGGGAAGAUCUGCAGCAACGGUGGCCUCUGGUGCACGCGGAUGUCUGUGGAGGCGGAAAUUUAAUUCGACCUCACCUCGGGCUGCCGGCCUCCCCAAGUUCCUGCUGCCGGCGCCCUCCCGAAGCUCCUGCUGGCCUCCUCCCUGAGCCCCAAGCACGAACAAGGUACUGUGCUGCACACCUGAAAGUCACCCAGCUACUCCUUGUAAAGCCAAAUCCCCUUUUGAAAUUGAGCAGUUGACCAAAUUAACUAGGAAACCCUUGACGGCAAGUUACUUCGGGACUGAUAGAAUCACCACAAAUUGAGAUGAGGCAUUCAAGCGGGCUGGACACACUGACACUCGAGCAGUAGGAUCCCUUGAACUGAAGAAAUGAAUAGGAAGAUACAUGCAAUUUAAGGUAGGCGCACACUAACGUCUCAGUAUCAGCACCAUAAUUUGUGUGUGUGUGUAUGAAUUUUUUAGUUUGUCUCAUGAUUGAUGCAUUCACCUUAGUACAGUAUAUCUUCUGUUUCAUGUGUUUUCUGUGUAAAAGUUGGGUCCCGAUGACCAAUAAGCAAAGAACAACCUUCUCCAACUGACAGUGUUAUUCUCCUAAACAAUUUGCCAUUUUGGUAUUUGCAUGGGGAAUAAAGAAGAACAUUCAUCAUUAGUACUUGAAGAGACUUGCCUGGUUGGGGCAGAACAGGAUCUGCUAUAGUGCAUGUUACUUGACUGCUCACUGUACGACUUCAAUAAAAUCAAGGUCUUUUCCUGAUGCAAGAAAAUGUUUUCUUGCUGCAAUGGUAAGCUAUUCUGAAUCCAUCUUAUAAUGUGGCUGCUCAUGUUUGGUGCAGACGUAGCGCAUGGCAGGGAGAUAAAGUGUUGAGAAAAAGGACGACGAUGUAAAGGGCAGAUGAUAGGGGAUUACUCAAUAAGUAUGCGGAGCUGCUAUAAAGUUUCCUCCUUUCUGUAUAGUUAUUUCACUAUCCACCUAAAUGUCAUCCCAUGUAUAUGUAGGAAACUAAUUUUGUGUUGCUAAAUUUUUUGUAUAUAUUUAAUAUUAUUCAGUGUUAAACUAAUAAUGAUCGAAACAAUGCUAGACUUACAUGUUGAUUCAUCAUUUGUAGACUUUUGGUUACAACGGAUAGAUAUGAGCAGUUUAGCACUAUUCUUGCUUAUAUAUCAAAAAAUAUUAUGAUCAGCAGGCUAAAUCUACCACACGGGUCGUUAGCUCCGUUACCGUAACAUUGCACCAUCCUAACACGCGAGGAAAAUAAUUUCACAAGAUUCUCAUAUUAAGUAUCUAUUCAAAGAGGUAUGUAACAAUGUGCGGGAAGGAGAAAUUCACUCGGUAACAACACCGAUUCUACGGCUUGCAUGCUGAGAGUUGAGACCUGGUGAGCUUACUCGUACUAUUGUGUGAUGUGUUAACUUACUUUUGUAGUUUCUAUAUGCCAACAUAUAUCAUGCUGUUUUAUGGUUAGUAGUAUUUCAACAUAAUUUUUCUAUUCAUGCAUUGAAGCAAAACUGCAGUUAGUUGCUACAGAGCUAGGAGAUCUUGGUGUAUAAUAAAAUAUAUUAGUAUGGAGGGGUUCCUUUGUCACCUGAUUUGAUAAGGUAUAUAGUACGGAAGUUUUUUUAUUUCAUAAUCAUAUUCUUGAUGUACUGUUUAACCUAUUUUCUUUUCAGAGAUUUGCCCUUCAAAUUUUCUUGUGAUAGCUAAUUGCCUUUCUGUAAAACUCUUUGUGCGGAUUAGUUGAUAUGAUCAAUGGUCAAACUGUUUGAGUUUCAAAAUCAUUUUAACAUUUCAAAUUUGGGGGUUGUAUAUAUACAACCGGAUAUCAUGUGUAUCAUGCAUAGCGAUCUACUUUGUUCUGUCUGUUAGCAUUAAUUAAUGUCUACUUCUUGAUUAUAUUUGAUAUACUUCAGAUAGUGAGCAUGAUUGUGGGGAUGGUGUGUAUGAGGAUUUUUUUCCCUUCUCCCAUUGGAACACACAGGUAUAUUUGGGUUUAUAAUAUGGGUUGUUGCCCCAGUUGCUUUUGCUUGGCGAUAAUGGCAAUGUAGUUAUCACCAUGUUUGCACCGUUCUUCACAUGCACAUCCCUAGGCUCCUUAUGUUACUGUUCACCAUCACUGUUGAUUAUUUCUCCUUCUAUUCUGUUAUCCAAUAGGUAUUCUCUUACUACAUAUAAAUUUGGAGGACAAAGCAUUUAUUCUGUUGAUAUAUUAAACCCCAAAUUGCUGACAUUUAUUCUGUUGAUAUAUUAAACCCCAAAUUGCUGACAUGUAACGUCUUCUAUCUGAAUUUGUUUCAUAAAAUUAAUCAUUGGUUUAGUUUGAUAGAUUAAACCCAAAUUAGUUUAUGGACUGAACUAGAAAUAACACAAUCACAUAUUAGUUUUCUUUUUAAAUUUCAUAGUAGAGAUUUAGCCGUCGAUGACCCACUACACGUGGAUGCCACAUCCUUUCUUCCUCACCUAUCGCGCGAAUUUUCAAUGCCGGUCCACUGCGAUCAGGGUGCUGGAGGCUCUUGGGCUUGCAGCUCGCAUGCUUGGAGGUAAGUUUUGUAGCCUUCCGUUGUAACGCACGGGCAUUUGUGCUAGUUAUCCUGAAUUGUAUACUUGUUAAAAAAACAUCAUAGCUAACAGAUCCUUUUUUAGCUUCCAUUUUUCUGUGCUCGGCCGUGUCAGGCGGAAACAAAUAUUCCCUCCGUCCCAAAAUGAGUGUCUCCCAAAAUAAGUGUCUCAACUUUAAUAUAAUUUUGUACUAAAAUUAGUACAAAGUUGAGACACAUAUUUUGGAACGGAGGGAGUAUACAGAUAGGAACUUACACGGAUUCCUUCUGUGACAAAUUGGCAGGAAAAAUACUAUACCAAUGCCUACAAAACCUACACUACUGCAUGACAGGCUCCUCAACAAAAGGCAAAUAUAUGAAUCCUCUGUUUUACGCAUACAUACUAUCAUAUUCCUAGGUUUUGCACAUUUUUCCUACCGUGUGAACCAACUGAGCCUAAAGGUGGGAGCUACACAGACCCGCCCGUCAACGGUAACGUCAUCACGCCUGGCAUGGGGAAACUUCAGUCAAGAUUGGAGGGCAGCCAAAUUUGCAUAAGAAAAUUGAAGGACAAGGUCCUCAUAAUUAAAAGGAUGCUACAUAUAUAUUUAACGGUGUAUGGCACUGGAAAGGUAGUCCACAUGCGGCUACUAAAGUAGUCCACAAACAGUAGCAGCUGGUGGUCGUGUGCCCGGCCCACUGCCCACAGACGUUUCCCUGGUUUUUCCUUUCAGACUAUCAUAUAGCAAAGUUAGCAACAACUGGUACAAUUAAGUGGAGGCUCAGAAUAAAAUAACUUGGAAAGCUAGCGCAAUGAUGGCAGUAGUGCAUGAAUGCCUUCACUAACAGGCAGGAAGAUUCAUGCCACCUACUCCCUCGGUCCCAUAAUAUAAGAACGUUUUUGACAUUAGUGUAGUGUCAAAAACGUUCUUAUAUUUUGGGACAGAAGGAGUACUUUAAUUCAGACAUGACUCGGAUGAGAUGCAUAUACCCAUGUGAUUUAAUCUAAAGGUAAUUUAGAUCUGUAUUUUUUUUCUCUAUAUAAUAUAUGGCACGAGGUCGCGCUCCUGAGCUCACAACACCCCAGCGCUAGCUAGACAGACAGAGCCAUGUUUCUUGCAAGUAAUGGCACACCCCAGCAGUAGCUUCUUCUCAUCAUCCUCCUCUACGCCGGCUGCUUCCUCCUCUCCUUGCCGCUCGAUGCUCCUGGACAUGUCGCUGCCGCAGUGUCGCCACCCAUCUCCUUCAGCUUCGACUUCACCAACUCAUCCUCGUACGACUGAUUUACUUUGUAGAGAAGCGCGGUGUAAUCUCCAGAUAGCCCAUGGAUUUUGUAGAGAAGCGCGGUGUAAUCUCCAGAUAGGCGUUGCCCCAUCCUAGGUUGGACUGAUUUACUUUUGCUGUAAAACAAUAUUUAUUUUUAGGCUUGUUGAACAUGUUGGCUAUGUGCAUCGCGCUAUGCAGAGGCCGGGCAUUCUUCGAUGCGGUUGUAUCACCUCGAUAUAUCAAUUGAAUGAAAUGUUCUUUAUCGAAAAAUAAGCGAGGGGGCAGGGGGUACCUUAGCCAAAUGCCAGGUGUAUGUGUAUAUCUCCUCUGAGAUGCGAUCACAUAUAUAUAUUAUUUAUUGAUCAUGCUAAUACACAAAGGAAAACAGUAGGUAAAUAUACUUAUAAAGCAUGUCUGAGUAGUAUGUGCAUAUGGCAGCUAAGAUACUUGAAGCAAAAUAGUAGUAACAGAAACUAUUUACAGGGCCAUGCACAACAUGAUUAUGGAUAGCAUGAAGAUAAAAGUAGGGCUGUGUUACGUGGAAAACAUGAGCACUAUCCAUAGGGCGAUACUUUGAGUAUUUAGCUUAGAAGCAUAAUCAGAUAUUUGGAUCACAUGAUGAAAUUAUUCCCAAGAAUCAGAUGAUUUUUUUAAUGGCAUUGUCUUGCUAAGGUUACUUAAACAACUACGAAAUGGGCAUCAAACCCAAUGGAAGCCAAGAUAUAAUGAUGUGAAGCUUUUCAGAACUUAACACUGAACACCUAAGGUAGAUAUCAAAUCUAUGAAUGCAAAGGAAAUACGAAAAGCAAUUUCAGUACUGGAAGUUUUGGAAAUACCAAAUAAUGCAUUCCUUGGAGAGUUGACACACACACAUAGCCAUUUAUUGUUGUACAUCAAACCUAAUGGAAGCCAAGAUAUAUUGUCCAGGGUUUAGAUUCUGGCAGUUCAUAUAUUUCAGCCUAGGCUUCAUACCUCACCAAAUAUCUAUGUUACAGAUAUGAGCAGUCUUAAGCCAAUCAAAGACAUUAUCCUUUCAGCACUCUUGCUGAGCUUAGGGUUGCAAAAUCCAAAUCAUUUCACACUUGAUAUAUGUAAGCAUUCCAUAGAGCUCAGAUUCGCCACCUGCUGGGUCAGGCACAGCUGAACAUAAGAAACAAUUAAAUUUUCAUGACAGACUAAUAAGAACCGCAAACAAUUAGAAUUUUGAAAGAGCUCGCAAAAGAGUUCACGACAAUAGGCAUCUAUAUCAUGGAUGCAGAAUUUAAUAAGAACCGCAAACAAUUAGAAUUUAAAAAGAGUUCACUGCUCAGGCUAUUAAUGAAUAAAACUAAUGUGCGUAACUCUAAACUAAAUGGCAUAAACGGUACUAAGAACUACAGUAUGACUAUUUUAACACAACAAAAUGGAUAGGUAAAAAUUAUCUUGAUUUGCACAUCUAUACUUGUUCAAAAGCAGCAUAGCUCACUGGGGCAGAUCCAUUUAUUGCUUCUAUAUUUCUGUUGUCAGUUGUGUCAACUGCAAAUAAAUAUAUAGCUAGGAAGUUUCACAGGUUCCUUCUCCAGCAAGAGGCAGAAAAACACUUCGCCGAUGACAAAUAAACCUACAUUGCAUGAUAGGCUCACAAACAAAAUGAGCCUAUCCUACAUUGCAUAAGGUCAAAUAUAGUUGAAAACCACCUGAAGCAGAUUAUGUUACUUCAAAAUCAGAGUGUCUUUCAUUGGCGGCUGAUGCUUGACAAACCUACACUGCAGGAUAGGCUCACCAACAAAGUAGCCCAAUAUUUAUAGUUGAAAACCAGCUGAAGCAGAUUAUUUUACUUGAAAAGUACAGAGAAUAGCUCACUGAUACUCUCAAUUCACGUGCUGGAAAUGGCCUGAUCUCGCACUCUCUUAGCUCCAAUACAUCUUUCAUGUGUUUUAACAGGGGAAAACUUUGACUCAUUGAUUUCAAAAGAACGAUAUCUCAUGAUUUCGAACAGUAGACCAGAUACCCAUCUUGCAUCAUUAAACACAAUCAAAACGAAGAAUUGCAUCAGUAGACACAUCAAUUUGCCACUUAUGCUAGGAUGGACAACAAGCCUAAGGUAGGUGUUAGUUUGUACAAAGACUUACAGCUUAGCUGAAAGCAACAAUUUGGUCUGAAAUUUGUAACUUGAUGAAAUUCAUUUUGUGAACUGACAGUUUUUCUGUAGAUAUGAUGAGAUUAAUUCAAGACUAGUAGAUAGAUAUUAUAAGAAUAAAUGAAUGCCAACUCCACUCAUUUAUUUCUGAAGAUUAAGGGCAGAUAUAAAUGAUAAAAAUCAGUUGUUAAUCAUACUUUAGAGCCAAAUAGGUUACUUGUUCAAUAUUUAAACUUUCCCAGAAAAGGUAUGGUAAACUACAGGAUUUAGGAAUCAAUCUUUGAAGAAUACAGGGAAAGAAAUCAGAAGACAGACAAUAAAAACAGACCCGGUAGAAAUAUAUCUUCUAGAAGCAUAAUCUAAAUAUUAUACACUGAACAAUUUUGGCAAAAAAGAUGACGAACUGAAAAAGGAACAUGCUAGACAAAAUUCGGCAUGAAAGCAUAUCACAACAAUGCAGGACAGUUCUUUUGCUUUCUGGUUUUCAGGCUCCUGGUUUCAACAGAAAAUUGGUCCCACCCACACAUGACACAUCCAUUUCUGUAAUCUUAAACAGAAGAGGGGACCAUAAACAUAUUCCUGACUUUUUAUCUUGAGAAAUUGCAGGCAAUGCUUUCUUCUCUACCAAAUGGCAUCAACUCGUGGGGCUUAAGGAAUCAACAAAUAUCCAGUUAGGCAAAGAGCAACGAAACAUAAUUUACCAGAUUACCACGCAGAGUGAAAACUUUGUAGCGCCAUAUGCUGCUACCAAUUCUCACAGCCCAUUCUUGGUUCAUAUAAAUCUGAAAUUAGUCAGCAUUUCCCCUCUGCAAGCGGCAUCAUAGUCUUCAGUGAGGUAUGGUGCAGCUUCCUUGUGAGUGUAUAUGAACUUCUCCAUGAAUAUCUUCUCGGUCAGCUUGAAAAUUACAAUAGUCUCAGUCGCGAUCUAGCAAUCCAUUUGCCUUGAGAAACUUUAUAACGCGGUACCGGGGCCUGACUCGGCCCUCCAGGAUAAGGCAAAGCAUCACCGGCCGUUGAGCAAGGUACGCCGGUUCCAUCCCCAUCUCAGAGAUAAGAAACUCCGACUUGCUCUGCAGUGUCUGAUUGGAUUUGGUCAGCAUCAGUGGGGCCUUACAAAGAGCAAUGCCCACCUCAGCAUCCGACCACCUGAACGUGUUCCUUAAGUACUCCACUUUGGCGGCGAGCUUCUCCUCACUAAGGGAUUCAACAGCCUUCAAACGCGUGCCUGAACAUCCCCGAUCCCUCGGGCCGGGACGGGCUUCGGGCCGGGCCUAGCCAAGCCCGACGUAGAAAACCUAGGCCUAGGCCCAGCCUGGCUUGGGCGUUGGGUCUAGAAAAUCAGGCUCAAGCCUGGCCCACAUGUGUAAAAGCCCGCCGGGCCUCGGGACGGGCCCCCUCGAUAAAUCGCAAAAUUGGCGGGCCCGGGCCCGGGCCGAGUGCAGCGUCGGGCCAGGCCGUUCGGGCCGGGCUGCCCAUGGCCAGGUGUAGUUGGGAGCAAUUAAUUGAGGGAGGCUCCUGUUCGGUGGGCCCACGACGCGAACUCGUGUUGUGCCGCUGUAACAGACAAAGUGUUCUGCUAACCACUACAGUUUGUAACCUCAAGUGACCCGGAAGAAUGCGAAAGGUUUAGAAACCAUUGUAUCCACGUUACUUAUUAGAUUUUUGAAUUAUUUGUAAACAAUUUUUUUAUGAAAAAGAGUUCAUAAAAUUUCAAAAAAAGUUUACGAAUUUGUAAAAACAGUUCCUUGUUUUAAAAAAAGUUCAUCAAAUUUUAAAAAAGGUUCAUCGGUUUUAAAAAAGUUCAUCAAAUUUGAAAAGAGUACAUUCGUUUUUUCUACAAAUUUAAUCAAAUUUGCAAAAACUUCAUCGAAUUUGAUAAAAGUUUAGAAAUUUUGAAAAAGUUCAUCAAAUAUGAAAAAAGUUUAUCGAAUUUGAAAAAGUUCAUCGAACUUCAAAAAAAAUUCAUCAGUUUAGCAAAAAUUCAUCGAACUUGAAAAAUGGUUCAUCGGUUUUAAAAUAAAUUCGUUCAAUUUAGCAAAAGAAAAAAACAAAUCAAAGAAAAAAAGUAAAAGAGAUAUGAAUGAAAGAUUUUUUUUUGGAAUUGUAUGAAGGAAAGAGUAAAGAUAUAAUUGUGCACCUAAGUUGAGGCCUGUGGUUAGCGCAAUGAAGAACGACCGGGAGGUUGCAAGUUCGAAUACCAUCGGACACCCCUGCGUUUUUGUGUUUUCUAUACAAACGGAAAGAAAGGGGAAAUGGGCCGAGCCCAAGUAGGCGCCGGUUCGCGAACUGGCGCCGAAGCGCCAAAUAGGUUUCACCAUUAAUUCAAGGUUAAUUCAGAAAUCCCUAUUUGACGCAUUCCGCGUCAAAAUGUCACCAUAUCACACAAAAGAUCGAGACUCGACAUUGCACCGGCCCAUUUAAGCGUUCCCGAUUUUGGAAACCCUAGAGGUUCCCAUCCGGUUUUUUAUGGUUUUGGGAAACUUCUAGAAGGUUCCUGAACCGGACUUUUCCUGUUACCUUUCUCUUCCCUUUUUCUUCUUUUUCCCUGCUUCCCUUUUUUCUUUUCUCUUCUUUUUUCCUUUUCCUUUUUAUUUUCUAUACAUUUUCCGUUUUUUGUUUCUUUAUUUCUUUCCUUUUUCCUUUUCUAUUUUAGCUUCAUUUUUAUUUUUCUUUCUCAAAUAAAGUUUCUUUUUGAAAAAAUAUUCAGAAACUUAAAAAAUCUUCACAUUUUAGAAAAACAAAUCAUUUGUCCAGAAAAAAAUUUGUUUUUAAAUUUUGUUCAUAAAUUCCAAAAAACACUAAGAAUUACAAAUUUUGUUUGCUUCAUCUCAGAAAAUGUCCGAAAAUUCAAAAUUUUCACCUUUUCAGAUUUUGUUCACAAACCAAAAAAAAUUUGCUUUCCUGUUUUAAUAUUCUUUUACAAAUUCAGAAAAUUUUCAUGUUUCAAAAUUUGUUCACAAAUUAAAAAAAAUUAGGGAAUAUAAAAAAUUGUUAACAUGUCAAAAAUGUUCUUGUUUUCAAGUUUUAUUCAAAAAUUCAGAAAACAUUCAUGUUUCAAAAUUUGUUCACAAAUUAACAAUGUUCGCAUUUUGUAAUUUUCUUCACAAAUUAAAAAUAGUUCAUGAAUUUUAAAAAUGUUCCUGGUUUCCAAAUUUGUUCACAAAUUCAUUAAAUCACCGUGUUUCAAAAUUUGUUCACAAAUUCAAAUAAUGUUUCAACUUUUAAAUUUUGUUCACAACUACAAAAAAAAUUGGAAUUACAAAAAAAAUGUUCAUAUUUUCCCAAUUUUGUUCAAAAUUCAAAAAUGCUGAAGAAAUAUAAAAAUAAGAUCUACGAAAUAAUAGAAGCUAGAAUAUACCUUGGCAUGCACACACAAAUUUGCAAGCUAUACUAAGCUGAUAAGUGUUAAUAAGUUGUACAACAUAUACAACACUUAAGACAAGUAAAAGCAAUUUGAUGAGUCAUGGCCUAUCAAAGCAAGCCACAUUACUAGUCUAAUCCAUCUUAACAGGUCACACAUGAUUACAAUCUUGUUUGUGUGCAAGUCAAGCUUAUCUAGUUUACACGUAACAACUUGUAGAACAACAAAAUUGAUGUUUGCUAAUAACUUCUAGAACACUACAACACUUGACAUGUAAAAGGAAUUUGAUGAGUCAUGGCCUACUAAAGCAAGUUACAUUACUAGUCUUAUCUAUCUUAACAGGCCACAUAAGAUUACGAACUAAGUUCUAUGCCAGCCAUGCUUAUCUAGUUUAUGCAUAACAAUUUGCAGAAAAUUACAAACUUAGUUUCAGAAAAAUAGGCAAUCUAGAUUAGUGUUUGAGCUGUAAAGUGAAUAAGAUGAGUCAUGCAUGUUAUCACACCUUUUUGGUGGUGGAAUGACAGUGCAACAAAAAGGAACUUUAAUGACUAGUCCAAGAAUAAACUUGUAAGUAGUGCCACCAAACACAACAUACCAAGUUAUGAUUUUGGGAAGCAUCCAAGCACUUUCCACACAAGAAAAUGCCAAUUGUGAAAGAGAUUAUGCCAUGGCAGCUAUAAAUAGGCCCCUAGCAUGAUGAUUAUCCUUCCUCAUUCAUCAUUCUCAUAAGCAGAGCGCAUCAUUCAAGCCAAUCAAGGAGUGGUCAAUACAAAUCCACCAUGAAGACCUUUAUCAUCCUUGCCCUCCUUGCUAUUGUGGCGACCACCGCCACAACUGCAGUUACAGUUCCAGUGCCACAAUUGCAGCCACAAAAUCCAUCUCAGCAACAACCACAAAAGCAAGUUCCAUUGGUGCAACAACAACAAUUUCUAGGGCAGCAACAACCAUUUCCACCACAACAGCCAUAUCCGCAGCCGCAACCAUUUCCAUCACAACAACCAUAUCCACAGCCACAACCAUUUCUGCCACAACUACCAUAUCCGCGUCCGCAACCAUUUCUACCACAACAACCAUAUCCACAACCGGAACCACAGUAUCCGCAACCACAACAACCAAUUUCGCAACAGCAGCAGCAGCAACAACAACAACAACAACAAAUCCUUCAACAAAUUUUGCAACAACAACUGAUUCCAUGCAGGGAUGUCAUCUUGCAACAACACAACAUAGCGCAUGCAAGCUCACAAGUUUUGCAACAAAGUACUUACCAGUUGUUGCAACAAUUGUGUUGUCAGCAGCUGUGGCAGAUCCCCGAGCAGUCGCGGUGCCAAGCCAUCCAGAAUGUUGUUCAUGCUAUUAUUCUGCAUCAACAACAACAACGACAACAACAACAACAACAACAACAACAACAACAACAACAACAACAACAACAACAACAACAACAACAACAACAACAACAACAACAACAGCAGCAACAACCGUCGAGCCAGGUCUCCUUCCAACAGCCUCAGCAACAAUAUCCAUCAGGCCAGGGCUCCUUCCAGCCAUCUCAGCAAAACCCACAGGCCCAGAGCUCUGUCCAACAUCAACAACUACCCCAAUUUGAGGAAAUAAGGAACCUAGCACUGCAGACGCUACCAGCAGUGUGCAAUGUCUACAUCCCUCCAUAUUGCUCGACCACCAUUGCGCCAUUUGGCAUCUUCGGUACUAACUGAGAAGAGAAGAACUCUAGUACUAGAUAUAUGAAACACUGUUUUCUUAGUCCAUGGUUUGGUCAUUGUAGCGGUGAGAAAAUAAAGUGACAUGCACUAUCAUGUAAGAACCCGAACUAUACUAGUUCAAACUUGGGAAUAAAAGACAAACACAGGUCUUGUCUACAUAUGGUUGUUUCUUUGUGUUCCAUUCAUGUGCCCGUUCACAAGUUCACCCCUAAUUAUAUAUAUUAUGCAUUACGUAGAUAUUUAUGUUGCAUUAAUUUACAGAUAAUAAAAUGAGUCUGAAACUUGAAUUAAAUUGAAGUAUUUUCUUGGACUUUCAAAUUGACUAUUAUUAAAGUAGUAAGGACUAUCCACAUCCUUGGCUCGCCCUUGAUCAAUUAAUUCCAGAGAAGCAUUCAAUUCAUCAAUCAAUUACAUUGAUUUUUGUGGCUCGUACUUCUCCUCAACAUGAGUAUAUUCAUUGCAGCUACUUCGAAUCGGCAUGAAUGAGGUACUGGUGCCUGGAGCAGUGCUAGCUGAUUGCCUCUAAUGUGAAGGGGCGUGGGCACAGGAGAGGUGUUUUGGGUGGGCCAGGCGAGUAAGAAGCGGGCCCAUCAGCGGUCCGGACGCCCGCAAAGCCCCGUAGUUUGUUUUCGGUUUACAGGAAAAAAACACAUCCGGACCGGCCUGCGGGCCAAUAUAGGACCGUACGUAUUGGAUGGCAAAACAUGUUCGGAUGGUUGCGAGCAGUUUGAGGGAUAGCUUUAGAGAUAGCCCUUACUUGACCCCUCGUUCCGAAAACAAUUAUGACGAUAGAUUUGCCUCGGUUCAGAAAUAUGUCAGGUUUAACAAAGUUUAUUGGAAUUUUCUUUAUCAUAUCUACAGUACCAUACAAAUACACCAUAGAAAAAGAAGCAUAUUUCAUGAUUCACCAUGAAUUGGCCAGGUAAAUGUUGGGUCUGGAGACUCUAUUCUCUUUUGGCAUGAGUUGCCUAGGUCUCAAAAGUUUCAUGAACCGUUCUCUUUUGCCAUUAAGAAAAAGCCCUCUUUGGCUGAUUUUAUUCAUAGUGAUGAUCUGACUCUCCAUUUUCAUAGGCAUACCACCCUGCAAGCUCUUGCUCAAUUCAUUGACAUCAUUGACUUAGUUCAUAAAAAAAUCAACAAAGGAAUAAAAUAAUAUCACGAAGAUACCAAUUACACCCGUCCUCUCUAUCAACAAGCUAGAUGUCCAAAGACAUCAAGGAUACACACAGCUGGAAAAAAUAAUAGAAGAAAAAAGAUCCCGCCAUGGUGAUCGAUCACUAGCAUCUGUAGCACUCUAACCACCACCAAAGACAACACCCGGAUUACCAAAAAAAUUCUCCAGAAACAACCCCCCAAGAAGGAAACAAUGCACAAGCGUUGUCAUUACCCGAUUGAAGAUCGUGGGUUUUGACCCUAGAAAAAUUUCAAGCUCACCCAAAAACAUUGCCUUCAUCAAGGCCAUUGGCAGGUACAACCAAUAAAGGCUAGACCUUGGAUUUUCACCCUAGGAAUUGAGACUCAGUACUCGAGGAGUACCACCAAAAAUGCAGUCCUCCAGUGAUGGUGCCCCCGCUUGCCGAGGCCGCUAUUUCAAGUCACCAAACACAUGGCGCACAUUCUUCAACGCAUCAAUUACACCCUUCCAGCAAAGCUUCAAGACCUCGAAUUGCAGUCGCGAUGACUUUCUCCACCUCUAUCAAUGCCUUAAGAAUCUUGACUUAGACAUGUCCCAUGACACCAAUAAGAAAUUGAAGCUUCUUGUCGCGCCCUCUUGAGGUCGUGUUGGCUAAUAAUAUGAGCGUGCGCCACCGGAGCCUUUCUGAUCUAGAUAUCCAGGGGCGACAUACACAAAUCUGUAUAGAUAUCCGAUGGGAAAGAGCAAAAUUGGUCACCGGCUAGAUCUAAGAGGUUUGGUCACCGGCUAGAUCUAAGAGGUCGACAUCCGGCAGAAAGGCAACUUGGCGGAAGAACAGUACUAGGGCCAAACCACCAUUAUUACGCUGAGGCUAUCUGUGGUGUCCAAGGCCCAAUGCACCACAUGUCUUCAAAUUGGCCACCAGUAGUAGCCCUUAGAAUAGACAGGGCCAGUUUGCAAAUUUUAAAACAUAGGUUUUUAGCACGCAUGAAAAACAUAAUACGUAUCUUUCCACACAUAAUGAACUAUAGGUACCACCCAAAAAAACAUAAUGAACUAUAGGUUGUCAUCAGAACUCAUGCCAUCCCACAGCCUCCCUCCGACCCUGCCAACAUUAUUGCAGCUGCACUCGCAAGCGUUACCGUGGAUGAUCAUUUGCAUGAUUUCACGUAAAACAAAAUAAGAGCUACAAAUGAAUAAAAGCUACACAUACCUUGGCAUACACACACAUUGCAAGCCAUACUAUGCUGCUAAGUGUUAAUAACUUGUACAACAUAUACAACAGUUAAGACAAGUAAAAGCAAUUUGAUGGGUCAUGUCUAUCAAAGCAAGCUACAUUACUACUUUAAUCUAUCUUAAAUGGGUCACACAUGAUUAUAAUCUUUUUUGUGUGCAACUAAAGCUUAUCUAGUUUACACGUAACAACUUGUACAACAUUACAAAGUUGAUGUUUGCUAAUAACUUCUAGAACACUACGGCACUUGACAUGUAAAAGGAAUUUGAUGAGUCAUGGCCUACUAAAGCAAGUUACAUUACUAGUCUCCUCUAUCUUAACAGGCCACAGAAGAUUACAAACUAGGUUUCGUGCAUGCAAUGCUUAUCUAGUUUACACCUAACAACUUGCAUAACAUUACAAACUUAGUUUGAGAAAAUUAGGUAAUCUAGAUUAGUGUUUGAGUUGUAAAGUGAAUAAGAUGAGUCAUGUGUGUUAUCAUAGAUUUUUGGUGGUGGAAUGAUAGUGCCACCAAACACAACAUAUCAAAUUAUGAUUUCAGGAAGCUUCCAAGCACUUUCUUGGCAAGCAAAUGCCAACUGUGAAGGUGAUUAUGCCAUGGUAGCUAUAAAUAGGACUGUAGCAUGAUGAUCAUCCUUCCUCAUCCAUCAUUCUCGUAAGUAGAGCGCACCAUUCAAGCCAAGCAAGCAGUGGUCAAUACAAAUCCACCAUGAAGACCUUUCUCAUCCUUGCCCUCCUUGCUAUCGCGGCGACCACCGCCACAACUGCAGUUAGAGUUCCAGUGCCACAAUUGUAGCCGCAAAAUCCAUCUCAACAACGACCACAAUAGUAAUUUCCGUUGGUGCAACAACAACAAUUUCCAGGGCAGCAACAACCAUUCCCACCACAACAGCCAUAUCCGCAGCCGCAACCGUUUCUGUCACAACAACCAUAUUCGCAACCGUAACCAUUUCCGCCACAACUACCAUAUCCACAAGCGCAACCAUUUCCAACACAACAACCAUAUCCACAACCGCAACCACAGUAUCCGCAACCACAACAACCAAUUUCGCAGCAGCAGCAGCAGCAACAACAACAACAACAACAACAACAACAACAAAUCCUUCAACAAAUUCUGCAACAACAAAUGAUUCCAUGCAGGGAUGUCGUCUUGCAACAACACAACAUUGCAUAUGCAAGCUCACAAGUAUUGCAACAAAGUAGUUACCAACUGUUGCAACAAUUAUGUUGUCAGCAGCUGUGGCAGAUCCCCGAGCAGUCGCGGCGCCAAGCCAUCCACAGUGUCGUUCAUGCUAUUAUUUUCCAUCAUCAUCAACAACAACAACCGUCGAGCCAGGUCUCCUACCAGCAGCCUCAACAACAAUAUCCAUCAAGCCAGGGCUCCUUCUAGCCAUCUCAGCUAAACCCACAGGCCCAGGGCUCUGUCCAGCCUCAACAACUGCCCCGGUUCAAGGAAAUAAGUAACCUAGCGCUGCAGAUGCUGCCAGCAAUGUGCAAUGUCUACAUCCCUCCAUAUUGCUUGAGCACCAUUGUGCCAUUUGGCAUCUUCGGUACUAACUAAUAAGAGAAGAACUCUAGUACUAGACAUAUGAAACACCGUUUUCUUAGUCCAUGGUUUGGUCGUUGUAGCGGUGAAAAAAUAAAGUGACAUGCACUAUCAUGUAAGAACCCGAACUAUACUAGUUCAAACUUGGGAAUAAAAGACAAACACAGGUCUUGUCUGCAUAUGGUUGUAUGUUUGAGUUCCAUUCAUGUGCCCGUUCACAAGUUCACCCCUAUUUAUAUACAUUAUGCA
rnacentral:lncRNA from 1 species